UACGAAGGGAGCUAGCGUUGUUCGGAAUCACUGGGCGUAAAGCGCACGUAGGCGGAUGUGUCAGUCAGGGGUGAAAUCCCGGAGCUCAACUUCGGAACUGCCUUUGAUACAGCACGUCUUGAGUCCGAUAGAGGUGGGUGGAAUUCCUAGUGUAGAGGUGAAAUUCGUAGAUAUUAGGAAGAACACCGGUGGCGAAGGCGGCCCACUGGAUCGGUACUGACGCUGAGGCGCGAAAGCCAGGGGAGCGAACGGG
rnacentral:rRNA from 1 species